GGAGCACAGACUGGCACAGUCAGGGCUCUGAUGUUUGGGGAUGUCAGGUGACAUUAUCUCCUCUAAGCAAAAUGUUAAAAUGAGAUCUGUUGAGCCUAUCGGUGUAUGUGGUGAACUUGCUUCCUCUGGGUGGAAUGUGGCCAUCAGCACAUAGAAUCAGGGCUGCCGUGAUCCUCCCUGGAGGGAUGGGGGGUCUACACAGCUCAUGGGGCUUUUGGGGUGCAGGAGCCCUCAUGGCCACCCUCUCUGAGGUCACUCUGUCCUGCAGGGUAACAGAAGGAGUAAGCAAUGAACUAGGUUGGGAAAUCGCUUGCAAGGUGCCCAGGGUGUUCUAGAGUUUCACAUUUUCCAGGCAUUGUCCAUGUGGUGGGAAGGGCCCCCUGGGGGCAUAAAUAAUUCCAAUGGACUUAUUGAUAGAUUGGAACAAUAAAGUUGGACAGCAUCUAUUCCGCAGCAACUGGGCUGACAGGAUGCUUCUUUACAUCCCCCCCCCCCAAGAAAGUCACACGACAGUGGCAAUGCUUCCAUUACUCAUACAGUAACUUCCAGAAUAAAUAAUGUAUCCUAGAUUAAUAGAGAUAUUCUCAUAAACCCU
rnacentral:lncRNA from 1 species